rnacentral:sRNA from 1 species
CCCGGUUGUCGGCGACCGACGAUGCAGGUGCCGACUGCUUGGGUGCCGGGGCCAUGGGAAAGCGCUCCGGCACCUGGAGGGCCGGAGCGCC